GCAUUCGUAAUUCAGUGGUAGAAUUCUCACCUUCCAUGCAGGAGACCUGGGUUCAAUUCCCAGCCAAUGCG
rnacentral:tRNA from 1 species